rnacentral:rRNA from 1 species
AGAGUUUGAUCCUGGCUCAGAACGAACGCUGGCGGCGCGCCUAAUACAUGCAAGUCGAGCGAGAAGACGUAGCAAUACGUUUGUAAAGCGGCGAACGGGUGAGGAAUACAUGGGUAACCUACCCUAGAGUGGGGAAUAACUAGCCGAAAGGUUAGCUAAUACCGCGUACGCUUCUUGGACUUCGGUUCAAGGAGGAAAGCGAUACCGAGGGUAUCGCGCUCUUGGAUGGGCUCAUGUCCUAUCAGCUUGUUGGUGAGGUAACGGCUCACCAAGGCUUCGACGGGUAGCUGGUCUGAGAGGACGAUCAGCCACACUGGCACUGCGACACGGGCCAGACUCCUACGGGAGGCAGCAGUAAGGAAUAUUGCGCAAUGGGCGAAAGCCUGACGCAGCGACGCCGCGUGGGGGAUGAAGGUCUUCGGAUUGUAAACCCCUUUCGGGAGGGAAGAUGGAAUGGGGUAACCCAUUCGACGGUACCUCCAGAAGCAGCCACGGCUAACUUCGUGCCAGCAGCCGCGGUA